CUGUUCCCCUGACUACACAAACAACCGCACAGCCUGUUACCCUGACUACACAAACAACUGCACAGCCCGUUACCCUGACUACACAAACAACUGCACAGUCCGUUACCCUGACUACACAAACAACCGCACAGCCUGUUACCAUGACUCUACACAACCACACAGCCUGUUACCCUGACUCUCACAAACAACUGCACAGCCUGUUACCCUGACUCUACACAAACAAUUGCACAGCCUGUUACCCUGACUCUCACAAACAGCCUAUUUCCCUGGUGAUAUGAGUCACCCAUCAGCAUCCUGUGUAAAGCAGAAGUGUGUGUUUGCUGCUGAGACUGAGCAACUUUUUUAUUUAGCUGAAAUUAAAAUGGAGUAUACCACAGACAUAGAAUCCAUUAGUGUUUUUACAUAUUUUAAUUAUUAAGGUAAAGUAAGAGUUACAGAAAACAGAGUUAACCAUUUUUUAAAAAAGAUUUAUUACAUAUACAGUGUUCUGCCUACGUGCCAGAAUUGGACACCAAAUUGAAUUGUAGAUGGUUGUGAGCCACCAUGUGGUUGCUGGGAAUUGAACUUGGGACCCCUGGAAGAACAGUCAGUGCUCUUAACCUCUGAGUCAUCUCUCCAGCCCCCAAAGUUAACCACUUUAGUGUAUAUAAUACAUGGCUCUUAUGGCAUUCAUGGUGUUAUACAACUGUCAGAUUAGCAAGGUCUAAUGCCCCUCACCUCAAAAGAAGACCUGUACCCAGCAGGCACGUGUCCCCCAUUCCCUUCUUCUGACUCCUAGUAAAAUCUCCAGAUUUAUACAGUCUGGACAUUUCACGGAAUCAUUCACAUGCUGUGUGAAAUUCUGUGUAAUUUUGUUCACGUAGUGUGCUGUUUUCACGAUUCACCCGCGUUGUACUGUGCAUUAGUGCUCUGUUUCCUUUUCAUGAGUUAAUAAUAUUUCAUUGUAUGGGCAUACCAUGUUUGGUUUAUAUAUUUAUCAGUUUGGCAUCUGAAUUAUCCUGAUUUUCUUUUGUGAAGUUUAAUCUUUGAAUGUGAUUCAUGUGUUGCAUGUCCACAGACUAUAUCGAAUAGCACUGAGCCCCAUGGCAAGAAGCAGCUAGCUGUCCACAGUCCUGCCUGUGUUUUCCCAUUAGCAUCUUAAACUCUUUCAUCUGUGUCUUCCGGUUUCAUACAUUUAAAAGUGUUAUGCUGCUGUUCUUUGAUUUCUGACUUUCUUCCCUUCUCCCUCCCCCAUGGGAUGUGAGGGUUUAGCUUUAACACUCACGCCCCCAUAAGCACCCAACUCCAUUUACCUCCACAAUUCAAUUAUAGCCCAAGUUAAGUCAAGGGCUAGCGAACAACCCCAUCCCAAAAAACCAGGCGGAUAGCUGUCCUGAAAACACCCAAGGUUCACAUACACACGCACACACAUGUGCCCACAGACAAAGGACUAGUGUCAGUAAUAUGUAGAGAUUUUUUUGUAGCCCACCCAUGCAGACUCGAAUUCCUUCACAAACCUUAUUUAAAUUCUGAAAUGAAUCUCAUUUUAAAGUUUUAAGUUUCCACAUGCUUCACUCUUCACUCCUAAUCCUGACUGUGGGACUGUGACUUCCCUUCCAGCGUGUUCAGACCAGUGUGCGGUCACCGUGUUGUGCUCUGGUUUCUGGGAGCCCAUCGUCCUCCCACCCUGGUCUAGAUAAAUGCCUUUCUCUGCUGUCUGGCUUCUUCCCCUGGGUUAACACAUCCCAGAUCUUCAGCUCUUUAACCCUCUUGACCCCAGCUUCUGUCUGUUUGUGUGUGUCUGUGUGUGUCUGUGUGUCUGUGUCUGUGUGUGUCUGUGUGUCUGUGCAGAGAUGUGCACACACCCUUCAGCAGUCAUCUGGGAAAGGCCGACUGCUGGGACUUUGUUUUUCUUUAGGUUUUACACUCUGUUGAUAGGAAUUCCUGGUUAGAAAAAGAAAAUCCCCUGGGAUUUCAUUGUCUGGAACAACACAGAGCUGAUCUCUGAACCUUUGUCUCUGGAAGUGGGAGAUUCAAUUUUAACACUCAUGCAGUUGUGCUUACAGUUAUACACGUGCGUGCAUGCGCGCGUGUGCACACGCGUGCACACACACACACACACACACACACACACACACACACAGUGUUCUUUAGUGGGUGGUCCCAGGUCACCAUGGAGGCUGUUGUCAUUCAGCCUCGCUACCAUGAUCAGUGAAGUCUCUCCACUCUAGCAGAAGUUCCUGCCUUUCUAAUCCCCUUGCCUUGUUUUUGCUUCCCUUCCUGGGACCAGCUUUUCUUCCAUUCUGCACUGAUCCACUCACUCAUCCCUUCUCCUUUCUGUCUCUAUUUUACUUCUGGGAAAAGUCCCCCAUGUCUUUGAAAACUUAACAGUAUUUCUUUCUGCUAAUGUCAGAAAGGUGGGUUUUUAAUGUCAUUCUUUCCCUGUGUGUAAUUUCACAGCUAUUUCUGGGGGUGGAGGGUGUUGAUUUUGUUCUCAUUUUGCAGUUUUCUGCCCUCCACUGAGUCUAAAUCUUCCAAGUGCUGUGGGUUUUUUGGCUUUUGUGUUGUGGGUUCACUUGGAUCUUCAGUGCUGUUUCUAUUAGGGAUAGGAGUAAAAUGUCAAAGUCUCUAUCCACUGACAGGACUUUUCAACUGACCUAUCUAAUUGCAGCAUGUAUGCUAAAUUGAAGAAUGGUCCUCUCAUACAAACAAAAGAGGUCCCUGUCCUGGGGCUGGAGAGGUGGCUCAGCAAUUCAGAGCAUGUACUGCUCUUGCCGAGGACCUCAAUUUGGUGCUUAGUACUAAUACGUGUGGUAGCUCACAACCGUCUGUAACCCCCAUUCCAGGGGACCCAACACCCUCUUCUGGGCACCCACAUGCAUAAACACACCAGGUUUUUAUGUUUUUAAUCUUAAGAAAAAUGUCCUGUCCUAACCUGUGAAAAUGUGGCCUUAUGUGGGCUUAGCAGACUCGGUGGGUCAGUUACCUUGAAAUGGGAGAGCAUCCUUGCUGGUCCUGGAGCCUCCUCAGUCAUACCUGGCCUUAAAAACAGAGCCCCCCACCCCCACUUGGCUGUUGGUCAGAGAGAUGUGAGGAUGGAGCAAAGUAGAGAGACCCAACGUGGCCGGCUCUAGGGAUGAAGUAAGAGGGCCCUGGCGUGGAGUGUCGUUUCUGUGGUAAGAAAGGCAGGAUAACAGACCAUCUCCUCCAGAAAGGAGUGGGACUGCUGACUCCUGACUUUACCCGGUGAGGCUGGAAGACGACAGCACAGUUACAGUCUUUGGAAGACAGAGUUUAUAGUGACUUGUUACAGCCAUAGGAGGAAAGUUACAGUGUGGACCCGCUGGGGAUACCCAAUGCCGUUGCGUGCUGAUAGGUUCUUUGGUCUUCACCUAGAGGUCGCUGCAGUUAGCACAGCAGACUCCUCAGAUAGUACAACAAUAAAGCCUAGUGUAGGGUUGGUAGAGAGGUCCUGCAAGCUUCAGCCAGAGCCUUGGAGAAAUUCUCACCCAAGUCUUGAGCCUGCAUCACAAAGAGCUUCAGGAGUUCCAGGAAACUGCAGAGUCUGCCAUCCAGUGGCAGAUAGUAGAUGGGACUGUGGACCGCCAUGUCUGGCUCUUGGAAUAAUAACUUUGAUAUAGGCAUUCUACAUCUGAUUCAAGUUUUUCUCACUGCCAGAUUGAAGCCUAGAAUCAUAUGGAGAAGAAGAUCCUGGGAAAUGUAGUUUCAGCCUUACAUUAAUCCUACACAGGCAUGAGCUUGAAUGUCAGAUUCUGGAAGCUGGAUUGAGGAGGCAAAAAGUCUUACGGUUCGGACUGGAUUUCUAACUAACCUCUCUUGUAGACUGGCACCCAGUACUCCCCUGGCUGUGCCCGCUGUCUCCAGGUGCACAGCUCUGCAUCGAGCUCUCCUGAGUGAAAUGUGUUGGGGGUCCUUGGGGAGAAACUAGAAUUUAACUGAGCAUCUGUACCUCUGUUCCAGACUUCCUCCAGUCCACCUGACUUCAAGGCACUUCCUCUUGCCCCAGCUCCUGAGCCUUCCUGCCCUUCUGCACAGGGGGAGACCCUGGAUACCUGUACCGCUCAAUUGUGUACAGAAUGUCUUAACAUAUGUAAGACCAUACAUCGUCACAAGUAGAGAGAAGAAUUUACACAGUAAGACGACUUGUGAUAUACAAAUUAUACGUAAGUUACCUCAUACAAGGAUCUAUAACAGUGUAAGUUGUCUAUAGUCAAUAAUCACUAAGGUGAAUCACAAGAAGAUAAUAAUGUACCUAUAUCUCAUCCUAACCAUAUCUAUCCCAUCCUCAAAGUAAAAAUCAUAGGAGAAAACAGAAGGCCAUCAUGUUUUGUCUUGUUUACAUGAGACAGAGUCUGACGGUCCAGCGCAGGCUGGCCUAGAAAUCAAGAUCCUCCGUCCUUAAGUCUCUGAAGUACUGGGAUGGACAAGUGUGCACCACUGUCCUGGAUUUGGCUACAAAAUUGUCUUUAUUACACACUUACAUUUAUUGAGUUUUACAAUUACAAAUGGAGCUUUCCUGUGUCACUGUACAGAUUAAAACUCCUACCCUUCA